CCUACGGGAGGCUGCAGUGGGGGAUAUUGCACAAUGGGGGAAACCCUGAUGCAGCGACGCCGCGUGGGUGAAGGAGUAUUUCGGUAUGUAAAGCCCUAUCGGCAGGGAAGAAAUUGGACGGUACCUGACUAAGAAGCCCCGGCUAACUACGUGCCAGCAGCCGCGGUAAUACGGAGGGGGCAAGCGUUAUCCGGUUCCACCGGGUGGAAAGGGAGGGGAGACGGCAAGGCAAGCCUGGAGUAAAGGCCCGGGGCCAAACCCCGGGACUGCUCGGGGAACUGUCCGGCUGGCGUGCGGGAGGGGCAGGCGGAAUUCCUGGUGUAGCGGUGAAAUGCGUAGAUAGCAGGAGGAACACCGGCGGCGAAGGCGGCCUGCUGGACCGCGACUGACGUUGAGGCUCGAAAGCGUGGGGAGCGAACAGGAUUAGAUACCCCAGUAGUC
rnacentral:rRNA from 1 species